UACGUAGGGUGCGAGCGUUGUUCGGAAUUACUGGGCGUAAAGCGCGCGUAGGCGGAUUUGCCAGUCAGGGGUGAAAUCCCCAGGCUCAACCUGGGAACUGCCUUCGAUACAGGAUGUCUUGAGUCCGAGAGAGGUGGGUGGAAUUCCUAGUGUAGCGGUGAAAUGCGUAGAGAUUAGGAGGAACACCGGUGGCGAAGGCGGCCCGCUGGCUCGAAACUGACGCUGAGGCGCGAAAGCGUGGGGAGCGAACAGG
rnacentral:rRNA from 1 species